AACGAACGCUGGCGGCAUGCCUAACAAAUGCAAGUCGAACGCAACCUUCGGCACUAUUGGCGUACGGGUGCGUACCCCGUUGUAACCUGCCCUUUGGUUCGGAAUCCCUCCCCGAAAGGGGUGCUAAUCCCGCAUAAUCUCCUCGGACCAAAGAUUUAUCGCCUUUGGCUGGGCCCGCGUUGGAUUGGCUAGUUGGUAGUGUAAAAGCCUAUCAAGGCGCCGAUCCAUAGCUGGUCUUAGAGGAUGAUCCGCCACACUGGGACAGGGACACGGCCCAGACUCCUAGGAGAGGCAGCAGUGGGGAAUAUGGGAAUAUGGGCGAUAGACUGGUACUGCAAGGCCGGGUGGGUGAAGAAGGCCUUAGGGUUGUAGAGCUCGUUUACGCGUGAUGUUAAUGACAGUACCGGGAGAAUAAGCCCCGGCUAACUACGUG
rnacentral:rRNA from 1 species